AGAUGUCUGCUCUAUUUCGUGAUGUGUCAACCAAGUUUACACGUGAAAAAUGACGAUUUGAUGCACAAAUGGAGUCCCAACUGUGAGAUGGAUGCUUCUCUUGGCCGUGUGAAAUACCAGGACUUUUGAUGGCAAUCUCUAAGAAGUUGAAGAUUCAAGGUAACCCAUGAAGCUCCUAUCCAGGAAUACACCUCUUCCUUAAUCACAGGUUUUCAUUCUCCGCCUCGGGGCCCUUUAGAUGCCAUCAGCUACAAAGGACUACAAUAACAUUCUCUGGAUCCAUGCAUCAAGAAAAUCAUCUCAGUAUUGAGGCUGCUCAUCAGGCACCAACCAAGAGUUAUAAAACUCUAGAAUCUAACCCUUGAUCUUGACAUCCCAUCCCAGAGGAAGAUCAUGGUGUUCAUCACAAGAGAGUUACCAUUUUGGAGGGGAGAGGUUACCAGCACUUCACCCUAAACCAGCAAAUUCAGGAACUGGUGUAGAGAUAGGUCUUUAAAAAGAUCAUUUUCAAAUUAGGGAGGGGAGAGGUUACCAGCACUUCACCCUCAACCAGCAAAUUCAGCAACUGGUGUAGGUAGGUCAAUAACUUUGUAAACUUGAUUAAAGCUGAAAAUGACGAACAUGCAUAAUGAAGAGUCUUUUUUGUUGAACCAUUGUUCAAUGCUCAUAGAUGCACUUGUUUAUUAAAAAGCUGUGUAUAACUUGUGCAGGCCACCUUUAAAACUUGUUAACAUCAUUCAUAACUAUAACGUUUAUAAUAAUUUACAUCAGCUUUUAAUUCAUGGGUGUCAUUUGGACAUUGAGGGGAGAGGUUACCAGCACAUCACCCUCAGCCAAGAUCCUCAGCAUCUGGCUUGAUCUACAGUUUGAAAUCAAACUUUUGGGUUUUACAAUCUCUACAAAAGAAAAGUUCCCCCAAAUAAAACAUGUAUAGGGCAUUCAUGUCCUUUAAUGAUUCAGUUAAUUUAUGUUUAAGAGGGGAGAGGUUACCAGCACACGAUCUUUAGCAUCUGGCUUGACCUAGAGUUUAUAUCAAACUCUGGGUUAUACUGGCAAAGAUUUUUACAAAAAGUAUCCCAGAGAAUAGAACACAGAUAAACAUUCCCUUAAAAUGUAUCACAUUUCAAGUUUAAGAGGGGAGAGGUUGCCAGCACUUCACCCUCAGCCAAGAUCCUCAGCAUCUGGCUGCGCCUUGAGUUUGAAAUCAAACUCUGGGCUUCUACAAUGAUUUGUACCAAAAAUCGUUGCCCAAAGAAUGUUAGGAUAAAUAUUACCAUUCAUUCCCUUUCACCAUUUCAAAAUUUAUGUUUCAGAGGGGAGAGGUUUCCAGCACUUCACCCUCAGCCAAGAUCCUCAGCAUCUGGCUUGGCCUAGAGUUGUAUACAAACCUCUUGGUUUUCACAUUAGAAAAAAAACAAAACAUUUGUCCAAAGACGAUUAUAAGACAAAGACAAAUAUCCCCUUAAAUGUUUCUCAAUUGAAGUUUGAGAGGGGAGAGGUUACCAGCACAUCACCCUCAGCCAAGAUCCUCAGCAUCUGGCUUAGACUAAAUAAUAUCAAACCCUGGGUACAUGCAAGUAUUUAAAACAAAAAAUGUUUCCCAAAAGAAUAAAUCAAAGAUGAACAUUCCCUUAGGCCCUAAAUGUUUCAAAUUUCAAGUUUAAGAGGGGAGAGGUUGCCAGCACAUCACCCUCAGCCAAGAUCCUCAGCAUCUGGCUUAUAACAUUGAGUGUUUAUACACCCAGUAACAGUUUCAAACACUGGUACACAUUAUGUACAUAAUUCAACCAAAAUAACACCAUCUACAAAAGAACACCUUUCAUAAGCUACUUUUUAUGUUUCUGAUUUAAGAACUUGCAGAGCAGGGGCACAACUCCUAGCAUUUUAACUUUUAACUACCCUCAUACUAUAUACAUGUAGUAAGGUUUGUCGUAACACCAUGUAACGAUAACCUCUAAAUGAGUUGGGGUGGUUCUGAAAAGAGCCGUUGCUUUCAACUCGAUGUUUCGAUCAGUGUGCUCUCAACAUCUUUUGGAGAAAGCUGAACUCUGGUGCUGCAUGCUGCUGAGUACUGAUGAUGCGGAUUACCGUGGUGUUGCACAAAGGCGGGAAAUUGAGCUCGGUGAUGCAUGGGACAACUGGAUCCUACCCAGGAUCCUGGGAGUUGUGUGUGUGGAGUGUGUACUCACUGAUGAACUGUGUCAGUAGGAACCUGCACAGGGGUCAGUGAGGGUGUGGGGCCUAGGGGGACUGAGGGUAUAGACGACCCAAAUCAGCCUAAAUGGUGGGUAACAGGAGGAGACUAAA